UACUCAACAGCUAGCUUAAACAACU
rnacentral:rRNA from 1 species